AGAAAUUCAACUCACGUUCUUUUCCUCUUUUUGAGCUUUCAACACUUUGGCGCGUCUGUGGAAGAAGCUUCAUAACUCAUCGUGGAAGUGUCUGAAUCACGAACGGCUUGUAGCGUUGAAAAGUAGACUCGCAAGGCUAUGUUCUACGAGAAAACCACGCUCAUCUUAUCACCAGAUCUGCCCAGGUAUCGUUUCAAAAUCAGACCUUCAGUUCUGUUUCGUCACUGUUUAAUUGUUUUGUGCAGUCUCACGAAAACUCUCAUAUCUUGACUUAGGAAUAUCAAAAUCAAGAGCUGUUUUUUGCGUUGGAAACUAAACUCGUAGAUAUACGUCUCACGUGAAAACCACAUUCAUAUUGCAUCCGAAUCGUCCCAGAUAUUGCUCCGAAUACGGCCUUCGAAUCCUGGUUCGCUUUUUUAUUCAGCUUUACGCAGCGUCACGAGAAAUUUCAUAUCUCAACGCGGAAGUGUCGAAAUCAGGUACCGUUUUUUGCAUUGAAAAUUGAUUUGCAGAGCUACGUCUUGUACGGAAACCACAACCAUAUUGCAACCAAAUCGUCCCAGAUAUUGCUCUGAAAACAGCCUUCUGAUCCUGGUUCGCUUGUUAUUUCAGCUUUGCGCAGCGUCACGAGAAAUUUCAUAUCUCAAUGUGGAAGUAUCGGAAUUAGGUUCCGUUUUUUGCAUUGGAAAGUAGACUCGCAGAUCUACGUUUCACAUGAAAACCACCAUCAUUGAACAUCUGUAUUUCUUCAGGUUCUUUUUUGAAGUUGUAGCCUAAAUCUUGUGAUACUCUACUUCUCGUCAGAUUUGGAUACUUUAUGAAUUUCUUCUUCUACUUCAAGUUUUGGGAUGCAUAACUUCUGUAAUUUGGUGAAUUCCGGACUAGAGCAAUAUUCAAAGUACCACAAGUUAUUUUACUAGUCGAGAAGACUUCAUUGCUUAGAGAUAAUGAAGAAUCCUUUUGCUUUUGCUUUAAAGAUGACAUCUUCAAAGGACUCCAAAUAUGCAUUCAGUCUUUAUACUUUUCUUUAUUUUGCUCUUUUACUAUUUAUUUUUUUUGUAGAGCCGUUCACAUUUUCGACUCAUGCAGGCCAGGAGUGAUUUGACUUACAAUUUAAGAUCGUGCAUCAAUGAGUAGUUUGAUUUAUAGUUUAGGCUCGUGCAUUGAGGAGCAGUUUGACUUGCAGUUUAGGCUCGUGCAUCGAGGAGCAGCUUGACUUGCAGUUUAGGCUCGUGCAUCGAGGAGCAGCUUGACUUGUAGUUUAGGCUCGUGCAUCGAGGAGCGGCUUGACUUGCAGUUUAGGCUCGUGCAUCGAGGAGCAGCUUGACUUGUAGUUUAGGCUCGUGCAUCGAGGAGCGGCUUGACUUGCAGUUUAGGCUCGU
rnacentral:lncRNA from 1 species